rnacentral:lncRNA from 1 species
GCAGUUCGGAACUCAUCCUACGUCUGCAGGGCUUUGCCCAAAGAUGAAUCCACUAUAAACUUCAAUAAAGAAAUGAUUUAAGCUUAACCCUUCAAACACUUGAUGCAAAUUCUCUCCCAACUCAUUUUAGCUAUGCAAGUGAAAUUCACAUUCAACACUCAAAUGGUUUUCCUACUAUGAAUCAAGCUCUUAAUAAGCUCCAUGUAAAGUGGAAUAAUAAAUUUUCAAAUGCAAUAUGUCUGGCAAUUGUCAUGCUUGAACGACUCUUCCAAAACCAUCAAUGAACCUGAAAAUUAUAAAUGCCAACAUAGAAUAUGUUACAAAUCCCAUUAUUAUCAGCCUUAUGUUUGCACAUAUGUGUGUUUAGUAUAAUGUUGUUGAUAUAUAGAUAAUGAAACAUUUUAUCAACUUCAACCUCACCACCAAAUAUUCUAAAGCAUCUUCCUUUUUUUCCUGUUUGGACCUUCAAUAACAAAUUUGGUUGGAAUUCCGAACAGCUAAAAGAGUGCCCUGCAUCAAUGAAUAUUAUGAAUUUGAAUACCUCCAAAAGCCUGUCAAUAGCACAGGUACCAUCUAAGAUAGUAAUCAG